UACGGCGAGUGAGCGGCAAAAGCUCAAAUUUGAAAUCUAGCACCUUCGGUGUUCGAGUUGUAAUUUGAAGAUGGUAACCUUGGGUUUGGCUCUUGUCUAUGUUCCUUGGAACAGGACGUCAUAGAGGGUGAGAAUCCCGUCUGAUGAGAUGCCCAUUCCUAUGUAAGGUGCUAUCGAAGAGUCGAGUUGUUUGGGAAUGCAGCUCUAAGUGGGUGGUAAAUUCCAUCUAAAGCUAAAUAUUGGCGAGAGACCGAUAGCGAACAAGUACAGUGAUGGAAAGAUGAAAAGAACUUUGAAAAGAGAGUGAAAAAGUACGUGAAAUUGUUGAAAGGGAAGGGCAUUAGAUCAGACUUGGUGUUUUACGAUUAUCUUCUCUUCUUGAGCUGUGCACUCGUAUUUCACUGGGCCAGCAUCGAUUCGGAUGGCAAGAUAAUGGCAGUUGAAUGUGGCUUCACUUCGGUGGAGUGUUAUAGCUUCUGCUGAUAUUGCCUGUCUGGAUCGAGGGCUGCGUCUUUUGACUAGGAUGCUGGCGUAAUGAUCUAAUGCCGCC
rnacentral:rRNA from 1 species